UGCCCAGCAACUCCUAUCCCUACUUUCUCGUGGUACUGUUCGGAAUACGAGUAACCUAAGGGAAGAUCGGGUAACAAACCCCGGUGGGAGCAUUGGUCGUAAGCUGACAGGAAAGG
rfam:Aedes aegypti strain Liverpool supercont1.1012 genomic scaffold, whole genome shotgun sequence.